rnacentral:misc_RNA from 1 species
UUUUUUUUUUUUUUUUUGCUUGUGUGUUUCUUGGUUUGUGCUUUUCCAACAUUGGCAGUUGAGUCUUUGCUCUUCACAGCUCUUAGCUGAGGAAAAAUGGAUGGAUAUAGAAGGUUUUGUUAGUGAAGUUAGUGAUUGAGAGAUAAGAUGGGCCCUAGCAAAUCAAUGGCUUUAUCUAGUUCCCAUGGUGGUUGCCAGCUUAGAAUUUCAAAUCAAUUUGUUGAUCAUUUAUUUCAUUCUAACUACUGAGAAGUCACAAUGGAUAUUGAUAUAGAUUGUUCAAGAACCAAAAGUGAAACUCUUUUCAUUUUGAACUGUAGAUGAAAAACAUAGCAUUACGAACCUCUUUUCCCAAUGUUCUCUAGAGAGUUGUACUUUUGUGGCAGAGAAAGUUAGAACUCAAAGUUUAAGAUAUGGAAAAGGAGUAUAAUGAGGAUGAGAAUGACCACCAACAGUCAAUGUAUGUCCUGAAUGUACUUUUAUAUCUGAAACUAUUUUCGUACUGCUAGAUUAUGGAUCAUGUACUCAUUGUUUAAAUUCUUGGGAUAUUCAAAGAUUAAGGGUCAGAAUAUUUUGACGAAAGAAAUUGGUUAUUUUCUUUUUUUGGGAACAUUUUUCAUUCAACAAAAACAGGAUCCAUAUUUAGUUAAGUCACAUAGUAAUUAGUAUAUUCUCAAGCUCUGUGGUCCUAAAAAUUGUAUCAUGUUUUAAACCUUAUGGGGUGUUUGGUACAAGGUUAACAAGAGAUAAUUGUUACCUUGUAACUUUUAACCCUCAUUAAAGUUGUUACGAUACUUAAAGAGGUUAGGUUAACUUUUCAUCUCAUUAAUAUUUAUGCCUUUUUAGGGGGUUAAAUGUUAACCUUAAGGGGUCUAGGUUAAUAAUUACCAUCUUUAAAGGUUAAAACUUACAAGGUUAAUAUUUAAUCCUUAAUUUUUUA